rnacentral:lncRNA from 1 species
AUGAAUGAAUCAUAAAGCAUUGCCCAUGCAUCAUUAUGCCAUGCAAUAUUAGGUUGCUUGCAUUAGAAUGCACGAAUAUGUUGCAUUGCAUAAUUUGUUGUUGGUGUGGAUGAACAUUGAAUGAUCCAUUAGCCCUCGUAUGACAUGAUAGCCUAUGUGAGUCCAGGUGUGCCUGCUACGGCUCUACGCCCCUGGCACUAUGAUUGAUGAUGGAAGUCCGGGUGUGCCUGCUACGGCUCUACGCCCCCGGCAUGUAUAAGUAAGAAGGAUAGGGGCUAAAUGGUGACAAGUUCAUCCUUGUUGUGAAAUGUUUGUGUUAUGACGCAUACAUGAAAGCAUGAAUAAGAAAAAGAAUGAAAAUAAAAGUUAUUUGAUGAUGAAAAUAAAAAUGAAUAAUAAUGUACCUAAAAAUGGAGGAAUUAAAACAAAUGUUUUUAGUUUCCGCUCACUGGGCUUUUAGCUCACCCCACUCCCAUUAUCCCCAGAGUUGCAGGUACAGGAGAGAUCAAGAAGUCGGCUAGAGUGAAGUCAAGUCAUAUGUAUGUAAUAGCUAGAGUAUGUGGACAUGGCAUAUGAUAAGAAUGUAAUGUAAAGUUUGAACAGUUAUGUUUAUGUAACUAUGUUUCUGAGGAUAGAUUUGUGCUUGACCAUAGUGUAUGUUAAUCCCUUGGUAUGUACAUGAUCUUAUUAUAUGAGGUGUAUGUGAACCAACUCAACACAGAUUUUAUAUUGCCAUUGAGGCUUUGAUGAAAUCCCACAGAGGGAUUAAUGUUUAUGUAUAUGAUGAAUACAGUGCAUGCACAGGUUGAGUUUGGUGUAUGAAGAAAAAGAAAAGUUUUAAUUCUUAAGUAUGUUUGUUGAUCAUGUAUGGGAUUAAACAGGUAUACAGGAUGUAUGUAGGCUUGCUACGGGUCCCGGCGGCCUUAAGCCGAUCUGG